rnacentral:rRNA from 1 species
CCUACGGGAGGCUGCAGUGAGGAAUAUUGGUCAAUGGCCGGAAGGCUGAACCAGCCAUGCCGCGUGAAGGUCAGUGCCCUAUGGGCGUUAAACUUCUGUUGUGCGGGAGCAAUAAUGGUCACGUGUGGCCAGACGAGAGUACCGUACGAAUAAACAUCGGCUAACUCCGUGCCAGCAGCCGCGGUAAUACGGGGGAUGCAAGCGUUGUCCGGAUUUAUUGGGGUUAAAGGGUGCGUAGGCUGUGAGGUAAGUCAGCGGUGAAAUGCCCUCGCUCAACGGGGUGAAGUGCCAUUGAUACUGCCUUGCUGGAAUGCGGAUGCCGUGGGAGGAAUGUGUGGUGUAGCGGUGAAAUGCAUAGAUAUCACACAGAACACCGAUUGCGAAGGCAUCUCACGAAUCCGCGAUUGACGCUGAUGCACGAAAGCGUGGGUAUCAAACAGGAUUAGAUACCCGAGUAGUC